UACGAAGGGGGCUAGCGUUGUUCGGAAUUACUGGGCGUAAAGCGCACGUAGGCGGAUUCUUAAGUCUGGGGUGAAAGCCCGGAGCUCAACUCCGGAACUGCCUUGGAUACUGGGAGUCUCGAGGAUGGAAGAGGUCAGUGGAAUGCCGAGUGUAGAGGUGAAAAUCGUAGAUAUUCGGCGGAACGCCAGUGGCGAAGGCGACUGGCUGGUCCGUUUCUGACGCUGAGGUGCGAAAGUGUGGGGAGCAAACAGG
rnacentral:rRNA from 1 species